GAAAAGUGCAAAAUCACUGUUAGAUGUGCCUUCAGCUUGCUUUCUAAAUAAUCCUAAGUUUCCACAAAAAUAUUCCUAAUUUCUUAUUAUAUUGAAUUCGCUCUAUUUUAACAUAAAAUUGAAACUACGUUAGAAUACACUACAGCCUCAAAUACAGCUAUAAGCACUCGGAUGAAUUAUAUUCGAAGGACUGUUAAAUCUUAAAGCUAACUCCAACACAACAAACGAGUUUGUCUCAAAGAGGUCCGAAAGUUUCAUCCGGUCGCGUAGCAACAAUCUUUAAGAUUUAACAACACUACGACCUGGGACCCGACAGUCUUCCAUGAUGCCAGUGGAUUAUCCAUCUGUCGAUGCUGCAUGUAUAGCUUGUAAUCGACCGAAUACAGCAGAGCCCAAGAUGGUACAAUGCGACGGGUGUAAUCGAUGGUAUCAUUUUUCAUGUGCUGGUGUAGGUGACAGCAUUGAAGAAGAAGAUCGAAGCUACCAAUGUGUCUUGUGUCGGCCACGUUCCCGCGCACCGUCCCUGGUGAAAUCAACAUCAACGACCGCUAGUGUCCGAGAGGCAAGGCUUCGGUUAGAAAUGCAACGACUGACCGAAGAGAAGGCACUGAAACAAAAGUUAAUGGAAGAAAGAGCAAAAAAUGAGCUGGAGCUGGAAAAGGAACUCCUCGAUCGCAAAUUCGAAUUACUUCAGGCUCAACUAGAAGAAGAUGUCAGAAGCACGAGAGCAAGCGUGGCUAGCGUAAAGUCAACCGACAAUGUUCAACACUGGAUCGACAACCAUCAUCUGUAGCACCCGUGUUCACUAAUCCGCAAGCCAAAUUGAGUCAGGAAGUUAAGAACUCCAUCAACGCGUUUAACCCGUACGAUCGUGUCAUUUCUCCUGUGACUAGUGCUUACAUUAGCCCACUCGAUAUUGUUAUUUCUCCCAUAACGAGUAACCAACCAACUAGUGCUUUUGAUGCGAUUACUUCGAAUUCAACGGUUUCAGCAUUGCCGCAAUCAACGCCUUUGAUGAAAGCUGUUUCAGCUCCGAGAGCAGCAGUACCAUGGCAGCUUCCGGUUAAUCCGAUGUCAAUCAACAAAUCGACCUCAAAUGGAGCUGCGU